rnacentral:lncRNA from 1 species
CAAAUACAGCACACAUACAGUUACAGAUCCCACAUCGAGCACGAACAACUGGUACCCACGAAACUAGCCCAGUUUCUGGACCUGGGCCUACCCACAAACUCGGACCGGCCCGCCCACCCACGAUCUCAGACUGGGGAAACUCCAAACGUCAUCACACCAGCGAUCAAUUCUUACCCCAACUGGCCUGGCAGCACCCUCACGACAGGGCACCCGGUGCACCCUCCUACACUCUCCUCGACGCCGACCUGCAGCCGCUCCCGCACGAACUUUCUGACAACUCCCCCAGCUCACCCGACACUCCCCCGGGCCGCGCACUCACGCCGCAUUCCCAGCAGUUCACACAAAGCGCGCAGCCUCCCCCGCGGCCCAGACCUAGUCGGAGCACAUGGCUCCCGGGGCGGCGGGGAAUCGGCCUGCGCUCGGGGCGCCUGCACCCCUCAGCCCCCCACCCGGCGCCCGGCUCGGCGCCCCCGCCACCCCGCCGGCCCUCAGUGCGGGCGGGGCGGGGGCCCUGGAAGAAAGAAAACUCACGUGUCCGUCCCGGGGCAGGAAAAAGUUUGGUUCCCACCCCCUUCCCCCGCCGCUCCGCGCUGGCUGACUCUUCGGGGCGCGGGGCUGGCCGAGCCUGCGCGCUCGGCUUUGUGCUCCGAACUCGGCCCGGAGGGGGAGGGGAGGGGGCUGGGCUCCCACCUCCGCACCGCCCCCCCCAGCACUGCGCCCAGACUCCAUGUUGGCCGCCCCCUGCCCCCGAGGCUGCGCGCUUCCCCCGCGGGAGGCUCGGCUCACGCUCGGCCUGCGCGAGGGUCCCGGCGCGCACAAACUUUCUUCGGGUCGCCGGCCCCACGCGCCCCCUUCCUCGGCCCGCCUGGGAGUGACAGAUGCCUCCGAGACAGACUUUCCUUUGUUCCAAAGGAAAGGGGAACUCGCGCGGGCUCCCCAGCCCCCCAGCCCCGGGCCCUUCCCUCUGCCCCCGCCCGCAGCUGUCACUCUUGGCGGCCCCCUCCUCGGCUCGGCCGCCGCGGGGGGGGCAGAGGCUGCCGGCGGUUAGCAACGUGCACUUUUUAA